AACAGACAAUAGCCAAAACAGGAGAUG
rnacentral:piRNA from 1 species